AUUGAACGCUGGCGGUAUGCUUAACACAUGCAAGUCGAACGGCAGCAUUUUCUAGCUUGCUAGAAAGAUGGCGAGUGGCGAACGGGUGAGUAACGCGUAGGAACAUACCUUAAAGAGGGGGACAACUUGGGGAAACUCAAGCUAAUACCGCAUAAUCUCUAUGGAGAAAAGCUAGGGACCUUCGGGCCUGGCGCUUUAAGAUUAGCCUGCGUACGAUUAGCUAGUUGGUAGGGUAAAGGCCUACCAAGGCGACGAUCGUUAGCUGGUCUGAGAGGAUGACCAGCCACACUGGAACUGAGACACGGUCCAGACUCCUACGGGAGGCAGCAGUGGGGAAUAUUGGACAAUGGGGGCAACCCUGAUCCAGCAAUACCGCGUGUGUGAAGAAGGCCUGAGGGUUGUAAAGCACUUUCAGUGGGGAGGAGGAUACUUAGGUUAAGAGCUAGAGUAUUGGACGUUACCCACAGAAGAAGCACCGGCUAACUCCGUGCCAGCAGCCGCGGUAACAC
rnacentral:rRNA from 1 species